rnacentral:rRNA from 1 species
CAGCAGCCGCGGUAAUACGGAGGGUGCAAGCGUUAAUCGGAAUUACUGGGCGUAAAGCGCACGCAGGCGGUCUGUCAAGUCAGAUGUGAAAUCCCCGGGCUUAACCUGGGAACUGCAUUUGAAACUGGCAGGCUAGAGUCUUGUAGAGGGGGGUAGAAUUCCAGGUGUAGCGGUGAAAUGCGUAGAGAUCUGGAGGAAUACCGGUGGCGAAGGCGGCCCCCUGGACAAAGACUGACGCUCAGGUGCGAAAGCGUGGGGAGCAAACAGGAUUAGAGACCCCUGUAGUCCCUGUCUCUUAUAC